rnacentral:lncRNA from 1 species
UGCUGUAAAGAAGUACCCUUUAAAUAUCACCUUGUAUCACACUGUAUUAAAAGUAGAUAAAAGAGAUAUUGAAUAGCUAAAUGGAUUUUCUGAAGUGGUUAAAGUCCAUUCAUUGGUAAAUUAGAAAUCUGUUUACAUUGAAAAACUUGCCCUCUAGGCAGAAAGUUUAAAUUUAUUUCUUUAUAUAGAAGGCAGUCAGGAUUUCUUAUACAAUAGUGAUAGGUACUAAUGAGAUAUCACACAGAACUCGAGGAUGGCAUCAAAUACGAAUUUAGGAACCUGAGAGGAGUUCCCGCCUGCACUGAAAGAAUAGCUCAACAUCUGUCAUCCCAUUCUCUGCGAUGGCCCAAAAUCAGGAAGACUACAGCUGUCCUGUUCCUUUCAGAUACUUCUGGGAUAGAGAGGUUGGGAGUUAUGCUACAACUGCUGAGUGCUGGAUGAAGAUGAAAACAAGGGAUGUAAAUUAAUGUAUUCCUUAUAAGCUCAAAAAUGACAUCUAUUAAGAUAUGUCUGUAUGGACAAGAAGAGAGAAGGAAAGGAAGGGGGAGGAGGGGAAGAAGCUGGGAAGAAAAUGCUACCACAAAAAAAUUAAAAAUAUUUCAACACUUAUCCUCACCGGUCCAUUGGUUUAAUAUCUAGCAAAUUAGUCAAAAGCAAAAUAUAUAUAUAUAUAUAAAAG